rnacentral:rRNA from 1 species
GACGAACGCUGGCGGCGUGCUUAACACAUGCAAGUCGAACGGAAAGGCCUCUUUCGGGGGGUACUCGAGUGGCGAACGGGUGAGUAACACGUGAGUAACCUGCCCUUGACUUUGGGAUAACUUCAGGGAACUGGGGCUAAUACCGGAUAGGAGCUCCUGCUGCAUGUGGGGGGUUGGAAAGUUUCGGCGGGUGGGGAUGGACUCGCGGCUUAUCAGCUUGUUGGUGGGGUAGUGGCUUACCAAGGCUUUGUCGGGUAGCCGGCCUGAGAGGGUGACCGGCCAAAUUGGGACUGAGAUACGGCCCAGACUCCUACGGGAGGCAGCAGGGGGGAAUAUUGCACAAUGGGUGGAAGCCUGAUGCAGCAACGCCGGGUGCGGGAUGACGGCCUUCGGGUUGGAAACCGCUUUCGCUCAUGACGAAGCUUUGUGUGACGGUAGUGGGUAAAGAAGCACCGGCUAACUACGUG